rnacentral:siRNA from 1 species
CUUCAUUCCUCCUCCUUACAAGCC